CAUCAAUAUAUACUAGUGUUUUGAAAAGCUAAGUAUUUUAAAACUGAGAAGCAAACUCCAUUUAAAAUAUAAUAUAGACAAUAGAAAUGGGAUAUGUCAAAGAGACAAACAUAUGAAAAAAGAUAUUGACAAUAGAAAUGGUGAAUGUCCAAGUGACAAACAUACAGACAACAAAUGUGGUAUAUAAAAAUAUGGACAAUAGCUAUGGGAUAUGUCAAAGAGACAAAAAUAAGAAAAUAGUAGAAACAACA
rnacentral:lncRNA from 1 species